rnacentral:rRNA from 1 species
CCGCAGGCCUCCCGGGUAACCUACCACCCUUUGUUUAUUACACUUUGUUGCUUUGGCAAGCCUGCCCUCGGGCUGCUGGCUCCGGCCGGCGAGCGCUUGCCAGAGGACCUAAACUCUGUUUGUCUAUACUGUCUGAGUACUAUAUAAUAGUUAAAACUUUCAACAACGGAUCUCUUGGUUCUGGCAUCGAUGAAGAACGCAGCGAAAUGCGAUAAGUAAUGUGAAUUGCAGAAUUCAGUGAAUCAUCGAAUCUUUGAACGCACAUUGCGCCCCCUGGUAUUCCGGGGGGCAUGCCUGUCCGAGCGUCAUUACAACCCUCAAGCUCAGCUUGGUGUUGGGCCCCGCCGCCCCGGCGGGCCCUAAAGUCAGUGGCGGUGCCGUCCGGCUCCGAGCGUAGUAAUUCUUCUCGCUCUGGAGGUCCGGUCGUGUGCUCGCCAGCAACCCCCAAUUUUUUUCAGGUUGACCUCGGAUCAGGUAGGGAUACCCGCUGAACUUAAGCAUAUCAAUAAGGCGGAGGAA